AGUACAUUGACAUUGUUCUUGAAUUGAGGACUUCAGAAAUAGUCACAGAGCUCCAGUGGCAGUGUCACUAGUACUGAAAAAAGUUUCCUCAGAAUCCUCUCGCUCAUGGAAAUAAUAUAGACCAAACCUCCAAGCUCGAGGGUAUGGAACAUCAGCUUGCACCAAAAGCUUUUGAAGUGGAUCCAACAGCAGCUGGAUGCCUGCACCAUGAUGGAGAAGGAACGAUAAGCACUCUCACAACUGGCUAGAAAAGAAACACAGCAAUAUAUUGGUUGAAUCUGGGAUGAACUGCCACAGGAAGUUUCAUCCAAUGUGAUUAAAAAAAUACAAUUUAAGAUUUCAAGUGUUCACAUAAGCGGUUCUCCUUGGCCUAGUAAAAUUUUAAGAGACUUGCAAGAUUAUCUCUGUCAUACCUCCUCAGCCUCAAUGUCAGUCUUCUAUUGCAGACACCAUAAAGUAAUAUGGUGAAAGAAAUCCUGUCUGCUACAUAAAGGCAUGAAACAAUGCCCUGAAGAGCAAAUUUAGAUAUUGGUAGGUCCCAAGAUCACCAUAGUCUGUCACAUUAUGUUCCCUUUUAACUGAAGGUGUUCUCUCUAAAGACACUGUACCAACUGUUCCUGGUCUAUCUCUGUCUUAUAUUUGUGCAUGCAUACAUAUGUAGACAUAUGUAGACACGUGUACCUAUAUACAUGCCUAUAGAU